rnacentral:rRNA from 1 species
UACAGAGGGUGCGAGCGUUGUUCGGAAUUAUUGGGCGUAAAGGGCGCGUAGGCGGUGCCGCAAGUCACUUGUGAAAUCCCCGGGCUUAACUCGGGGCCUGCAGGCGAAACUGUGGUGCUGGAGUAUGGGAGAGGUGCGUGGAAUUCCCGGUGUAGCGGUGAAAUGCGCAGAUAUCGGGAGGAACACCGGUGGCGAAGGCGGUUCUCUGGGCCUUACCUGACGCUGAGGAGCGAAAGCGUGGGGAGCGAACAGG